UACGUAGGUGGCAAGCGUUUGUCCGGAUUUAUUGGGCGUAAAGCGCGCGCAGGUGGUUUCUUAAGUCUGAUGUGAAAGCCCACGGCUCAACCGUGGAGGGUCAUUGGAAACUGGGGAACUUGAGUGCAGAAGAGGAAAGUGGAAUUCCAAGUGUAGCGGUGAAAUGCGUAGAGAUUUGGAGGAAUACCGGUGGCGAAAGCGAACUCUCUGGACGGCAACUGACGCUGAGGCACGAAAGCGUGGGGAGCAAACAGG
rnacentral:rRNA from 1 species